rnacentral:lncRNA from 1 species
GCCCCUUGGAAGCCAAGAAUAUGAGGAAGUCUUCUUCCUUCGCGCCUUCUUCUUCCUUACGCUCCAGGGCAGCCUGACAGAGCCGCUCGAAGGCUCUGCUGGCCGCGGCUAGCCGGUUUACCCAUUCCACUGGACCCAGCCACCACCCACUCCUGCUGUCUGGUAAACUUUCCUCCUGUUUCUGGGGCCAUGUCUGGCAUGAAGAGUUUUUACUGAAUAGUUUUCAUUGAUCGCAGGCCAGUUCUCUCUUCUCACCCCUUUAUUGAAGUGACAGUGAAAAUCUAAGUGAGAAAGCACUGUUACAGGGGCUGAAAAGGCUACAGGAGACCAGAGCCAUUGACUUUUAUUUUUAAAAUGAAGAUCUCUUUUACUUGAAGGAACUUAAGAAUUUUGGCAUUCAAAUAGGGGCUGGAAGACUUGAAAGCAGUAGAAAUUUCACCACAGGUGAUAGGAAAGGAUGAUCACGAAAUGAAUAUCUCCUGACUUGCACACCUAGUGAGCAGAGCCAGGAAGGACCUCCUUCACCUUAGCAUUUGGAACAGGCUGCAAAGUUCAUUCUUCCUCAUAGCAGCCCCUGCAUUCAGUUUGGUUUAGUUGUUUUAUGUGGUUUCUAGCCUGAUUUUUUUUUUCAGGGUGCAGCAGAAGUCUCAGGUAGCUGAGAAGUUCAUGGAAUCUUCUUAUUUGCUACACCUUUCACUACUGCUUGUGAUAUAGUGCAGGGUUGGGAUGUGCAGACAUUUCUCAAGUGCACUGUGUACCUACACAGCAUGCUGCAAUUUGGCUACUGAAGUCAAGAGAAACUGGUUUGAACAACUACUGAGUGUAACAUAGGAAGCGCAUUUCAUUUGAUAACAGGAACACAGCUUUUGUGCUAAUAAAAUGCUU